rnacentral:lncRNA from 1 species
GGCCUUUCAAGGUAGCAAGGCAAUUUUUCUAACGUACUGCUGAGAAAGGUAAAUAUGAUUAGUUCUAUGAUCACGAUGAUAGCAUAAUGAUUUUCCUUCAUUAUGACAAAAUAUUGUUUUUUAACUUUUAAGAAAUAUGAUUGACUGUCUUAUCAAACCGUUGGAAAAUUGGAAUUUUCAAAAUAUAUGACUUUCAAAUAAUUUUAUUGAAAGACAUAACAAAGAAAGGUCGUUACACAAAAUUGUAAAGCUAAUAUCAAUGAGUUACAUAAUAUAAUGCUAGAAAAGUUAGAGAUAAUACCAAGGGACAAAUUGGAAAUUCAAUAAAAAACAUCCUUACAGUGGUCAUGGUGGCCAUUUAUUAAAAAACGACGAAAAGACAAUUAGAAAUAGCAAUACAAUGCACAUACAAGUUUAAGCUUUCUUGAAUUCGGAGGACUGCUUUGCUAUAUUAUAAUAUGUAUUAAACGUAAUUCUAAAACACACCCACGAAAUCACGGUCAUUUAGUGCGUGAUGGAAAGUAUGUAAACUGUUGAAGAAUGAAAACAAGAUUUUAAGAUUAAAGAAUUCUAGGGAAGGUAUCAAACGUAUUAGCCUGUGAGUGCCAUGGUGUCAUAGCUAAUUUUUUUUAGCCCUCCCCUUUUCCCAAAGUCCGUUAUUGUUCAAUUUCGGGUUUUCUGCAUACCAUGAACAUACAUAUACUAAAAAUAAAGUGUAUUUGCUAUUUACUACCAUUUCCAAGUUUACUUACUAACCACGGCAGUCACUGAUAUAUGAUAUAGAGACUAUCUAUAUAAUAUAUCAAUGACCGCCGUGGAUAAACUUGAAAUUGAUAGCAAAUAGCAAAUACACUUUAUUUAUAGUAUAAGUAUGAUCAAUGAAACAGAAAAACGAGACAACAGUUCCAAAGUACUAAGACAAUUUUAAGACAACCCUGAACGGAACUCUUGUCUAUGACCUAAAAGUCUCGCUGAUGACGCUAACACUAUCCGGACGUUUUCCUCCCAAAAUAACCCAAACUGAAUAAUCAUAAGCAAAGAAGACAAAUGCGAUUAUGCUAGGUACCUUUAGGAUACAGAGUCAUAAUGGUAAAUUAAUUGUGUAAGGAAGAGAAGCGACACACAAAUUGAGGUCUUCUCGUUUAAUAUGUAGAUGUAUGCAUGUGGUUUUUGAUCUAGCAUUGGGAUUUUUGUAUUUUAAGAUAUUGAUUGAUAUACAGUAUAUUGGAUUUACUUGAAGAUCUUGAAGACUUGCGUUCUAAAUUCAUGCUUUAAAAAAAUGUUCACUUUACUUGUUGAAAACAUUUACAAAUAGACACGACUCUGGAGGUGUGCCUAGAUUGACGGAAGUUAUAAAAUGCAGAUAGAACAGUUUAAGAACAUUGGUUUUUUUUAGAACAAAUUGUACAUAAUGCAGUUAAACAAAGCUUAUAAACACGCA